rnacentral:rRNA from 1 species
UGGGGAAUAUUGGACAAUGGGGGCAGCCCUGAUCCAGCGAUGCCGCGUGUGUGAAGAAGGCCUGCGGGUUGUAAAGCACUUUAGUUGGGGAGGAGAAGGUUCGUAUGAAUAAUGAGGACUGGAGACGUUACCCAAAGAAUAAGCACCGGCAAACUCUGUGCCAGCAGCCGCGGUAAUACAGAGGGUGCAAGCGUUAAUCGGAGUUACUGGGCGUAAAGGGCACGUAGGUGGUUAUAUAAGUCAGUUGUGAAAUCCCCGGGCUUAACCUGGGAACUGCAGCUGAUACUGUGUGACUAGAGUCGAAGAGAGGGAAGCGGAAUUUCCGGUGUAGCGGUGAAAUGCGUAGAUAUCGGAAGGAACAUCUGUGGCGAAGGCGGCUUCCUGGAUUCAGACUGACACUGAGGUGCGAAAGCGUGGGUAGCGAACAGGAUUAGAUACCCCAGUAGUCCCUGAGCGGGCUGGCAAGGCGCAU